rnacentral:rRNA from 1 species
UACGGAGGGUGCAAGCGUUAAUCGGAAUUACUGGGCGUAAAGGGCGCGUAGGUGGUUUAUUGAGUUGGUUGUGAAAGACCUGGGCUCAACCUGGGAGUGUCAACCAAGACAAAUAGACUAGAGUACGUUAGAGGGUAGUGGAAUUUCCGGUGUAGCGGUGAAAUGCGUAGAUAUCGGGAGGAACACCAGUGGCGAAGGCGACUACCUGGGGCGAUACUGACACUGAGGCGCGAAAGCGUGGGGAGCAAACAGG